AAUUGUGGCUGUGAAUUUGCUUUC
rnacentral:siRNA from 1 species